CUGGAUUUGGACAUGGGGGCAGCCUGAUCCAGCCAUCGCCGCGUGAGUGAUGAAGGCCUUCGGGUUGUAAAGCUCUUUUGUGCGGGAAGAUAAUGACGGUACCGCAAGAAUAAGCCCCGGCUAACUUCGUGCCAGCAGCCGCGGUAAUAAUACAUGC
rnacentral:rRNA from 1 species